AAGGCCUGGGAAUGAGGCUAGGGCAGGAGUGCACUCCUGUUAUGGGCUAUAAACAAUAUUGACAGGGGCACGCUCACAAGGCCAUGAAAGCAUAGCUUAAGACGACGAUCUUUACCAGUUUUCUAGUUUUGUUAAUGAUCUUUACCGGUUACAUUGUUUAGCGUCAACAUGGCAUGGCAGCUAGCCCUUGAUGAUACAGACACAGAGAAGAGAGGUAGCAUGUCUGAGAACACUGGUCUACUCCCCAGCUCACCCAAGCACAGCUCACCCAAGCACACUGCCAGUGCCGCCACAGUCUAUGCUUCUGAUGGAGAGACACCUUCACUAACAUACACAGGAAGAUAACAUCCUGCAAGUGCAAAACCUGGUUAUAGUCAUUUGCGUUCUUCUUAUGGAACUUUGGUGCCAUGGGGUUGGUGUCCAUCCACUGGAAGGGCCCCCUCCGACUGCAGCAGGCCUACCUCAUCCUCACCAGUGCAUUAGUGGCAACCACGUUCCUCAAGUACCUGCCUGACUGGACCACCUGGAUCCUCCUCGUUGCUAUAUCACUCUAUGG